AACCCAUGUUGUGGACACUUCCGCAAGAGGUCAUUGAAUUGUUCCGAAGUCUUAAACAAAGUUUUAAGCUUCAUCUGAAUAAAUGAAGAUAUCUCAUUACUAAGCUU